GAUCCAAUGGCCUAGUAGUUAAAGCAUCCGCUUAGGAUGCGGGAGGUCGCGGUUUCAAACGCUGUCCGAGUCA